UACGGAGGGUGCGAGCGUUGUCCGGAAUCACUGGGCGUAAAGGGCGCGUAGGUGGCCGAGCAAGGUCGCGGUGAAAGCUUGGGGCUCAACCCCAAGUCGGCCGUGGCAACUACUGGGCUGGAGCACUGUAGGGGCAGAUGGAAUUCCGGGUGUAGCGGUGGAAUGCGUAGAGAUCCGGAAGAACACCGGUGGCGAAGGCGGUCUGCUGGGCAGUUGCUGACACUGAGGCGCGACAGCGUGGGGAGCAAACAGG
rnacentral:rRNA from 1 species